GCCAGGUCUAGCGGGAAGGGUGAGAAAAGAAAAUUUGUAUCCUCAUUGGCCAUAUGAUAAAACUCAACCGAUUGAUAGACGAUAGGCCCCUCCAUAUGAAAUAUGAAUCCCAUCAACUCGUGCAAAUGCAGAACAAUUGCAAAAUGACCUCCCAAAUAAAUCUAGCUUCCAGGAAGUGAGCAAGCUGCAAGCCUUUGGAACAAACAUAUUUUAUUUGGGAUCCCUGAAAAAACUCUAUAAUUCACAAGUAGCAUCCUUCUUAUUGAUCCAUUUCUCAUGCAUUCUUCCCAACAUUCUCCAAGCUGUCAAGCUUUCCUUGAGUGUUUAUUGAUCCAUUGGCCAUAAAUUGACCUCCUUGUUCAUACACCAGCAUAUAGAUGUUAAUUUUGUUCCACUAAUAUACACAUGUGCAAGGAAAUCAAAGAUCUCCUUAAGUAAUGAAAAUUUUGUUAGUACCUGAAAAUUAUAGAUCCUAUUAAAGACAGAAGAAUCAAAGAAAAAGAAAUUAAGGUGGAAAGAAGAGUG
rnacentral:misc_RNA from 1 species